AAUAGCUAAAAAUGGUAAAAGGAUUUAGUGUAGGGUUGCUAAUUACUCUUACAUCCCCACCGUUAAAUCCAGGGUCAAACAAUCCACCCCAAAACAUUGCUUUGGCAACCAACAACCAAGCACCAAUUCCCAACAAAAUGAGGUGAAUGCCAAGGAUACUAGUCAUUUUGCGUUGGUCUUGCCA
rnacentral:antisense_RNA from 1 species